rnacentral:rRNA from 1 species
UGCCUCAGUGUGUUGCGUUGUGCUCUCCUUUCGUCGCGUUAAUUCCGGCCGGCGCGGAGGAGGAGCCCUGCGCGCGCGCGAGCGCCCGCCCGCCCUCCGUCUCGGCAGCGGCAAGCGACAAGCAGCGAGCGGCGGCCGGCGGCCGGCGGCGGGUACUCGGCUUAGUCGGCCGCCCCCUCAGCAGCGCCGCCAGGUACUCGCGACUGCGGCGCCCGUCGUUGUAGUAGUCGGCUUCUUCUUCGUCCGACCCGCUGCUUCGGUACGGCUGGGGCAGGAGGUUGCGGGGGCUGAGGAGCGGGAAGAGGUUGCUGCCGCCGCGGAGCGGCUCGCUGUAGCUGGCGCACGAGGCCCCGUUGCCGGCCGCGGUGGUGGACGGGUGCCGGCGCAGGGGGCUGCGGUACCUGUGCCUGCAGCGGCUCGGGCGGCGCCGGAGGGAACGGCUGACGCCGCGGGUCAGCGCGGGGCUCCCGCGCGUGCGGUUGUACCUGCUGUGGCCACCGCCGCCCAGCCCCCCGGUGCGGCGCGCCGGCGGCGAGAGGCCGGGGGCGUCGCCCAAGGCGGCGGAGCCGGACGCGCCGUACUUCGUCGCGGAGGAGCAGCACCGGUUGGCGGAGGGGCAGAGGCGGUUAGCGGCGCCGCUCCUAGUCACCAGGGACCUCUAGUCGCGGCCACCGGAGCAGUCGCGCGAGGAGCCACACUUUCUACAGCUGCGCUUCACCUAGCCGACCCGGCCACACUUACAGGGGCUGCUCCAGCCGGUCGUCCGAGAGUGGUUACGUGAGCGGCUCUUCUCUACGUAUGGUCAGAAGGACCUGCUCCUCUAGCACGUGGUCAUGAUGUUGCCGAUGACGUUGUUGUAUGACACCGGCGAGAAGGUGAUGGAGCCCGACGGCGUCCUCCUGUCCGACCGUUGGUGGGCCUUGAAGCUCAGCGUCAAGCUGCGCAUGUUCGCCCGGUUGGUCUACAAACGACUACAGCAGAUGGUCGUGAUGGUCCUUCCCCUACACUAGACCACGGUACUGAUGGUGGAGUACAAGGACGGGUCCACGGAGUUCCUCGUACUGUAGUUGUACUUCCAGCCCACCAAGGACGUGUGCGGGAAGGGAAGGAGCCUCUAAAUGGCGUGAGACGGUAGUGCGAGCCUCGACGAAGCGAGGCACGAGACGCGACUAAAUCAGCCUAAAGUAUGUAUGCUGAUACGUUCCGUAAAGCACUCGCGUACAUGGUCUUAUGAGCCUGAGCUCCCAUGGGGACUUCCACACCUCCUGGUCCCUUUCAAUUGCGCCCAACGUCGCAAAGGAUAACCCUAUCUGAGACUAGCAAAGUUUUCCCGCAACCUGUAACUGCGUCGUUUUUCUGUACAGUUACUUGACUUUGUCGCUAAACGCCCUGCCUUCCAUUACGAACCACAACUAGCUGAACUGUACUAGUUUCCUUAAGGUGUUUUCUAAAACCGGAAACUUUUCAAAGAACUCCUUUUGGGACUUACCUAACUAUUUCACCAAGAUGAAGUUUAACGACACGGUUGAUCUUGACUGCAGGGACUCAUAGUCUUCGAAUGUUCGGUUCACGUACUUUAACAACCCGCGUAUUUACCUGCUAAACCUUGUAACAGACGACAAGGGUAAGUAGUAGACCUAGCUAGAGAACUAAAGGUACGGAACACACGAGAAAUACGUCAGUGACUACACCGAGAACAUUGUAGUGACUCCCUACCGUACUUAGAACAUUCGAUGCUUAUACAACGUACGGUCCCUAGUUUUUUUCCUCAAGACUAUAACUCACUCAAACGGCCACGUCGUGUUAGCGAACCACGACCACGGUAAGAACAUUUAGGAACCUUAUAAUGUCUUCAACGUCUGAGUUAUUUUGUACGAAACUGUUACUGUAGACUACUCUCCCUCUUCGCCGUGUCCGUAUUGAUGCGCGUACAUUGUUGAGUAUGACGGGUUCUAACCCGACUUUGAAAACAUACACUCGAUUUGCUAUGUCAACGACUUCGAGACUACUCUUGUUCUGUUCAAGGAGGACUGGAAGGAUCAGCUUGCCGGUAGGUCGUUAUAGACGUCAGUUUUUUAGCAAACGAGUAUAACCCAAAGUUAAGUUGUAACUGACUCGGUCAACUUAGGAGACCCUCUUCCCCGCCACUAGUUUAGUUCCUCUACCUUGAGUUCAACGUAGGACUGAAUUUCCCAGGAAACUCUCGGGAGACGCUCCUGCUCUCGUGAUGCCAAUAGCAAGAGUCGCCUUCGCUGUCCUCACAAGAACUACUUUUAAAACCUCUCAAAUUGAACACCGACCGUCGUCUCGUACCCUACAAGAAUGCGGGUUGACUACCUCUUACCUACUGUUGUUACGGACUCGUAGACUUGUACCUAACCCAGCUGUCACAUUUCGUACAAAAACUCAUGAAGUGUCUUUCUUGGGGUUCUAGAGUAAAACUUGUAGCACUUUGUAGUAAACACACCUUGAUGUUCAUACGCCUACAACUCAAACCCUCCGAGGUUCGUUCUCUAUACGACGUCGUGGACACCUGGCCAGGUUAGAGUUUACGUCGACACCUACAACAAGUUCCCUCGGCCAGUCAACUUCAAGCGAGACAACCUCAGUGUUUCCCACGCCGGUAACUAGCAUAAGAUCCCCUCUAACAAGUGUCGUUUUCGUACCAAUGAGGCUAACUGAUACAUGAUACAUAUCCGGUGAAGGAUCCUUUCCUGCUCCUGUAGAUACACAAGAAGCUGGGACUUAUGGGAAGACUUGGUUUUCACUUUGGCCUACCACGCAGCCAUAGGCAGCUGUCCUCCGUCUUGCCCGCCGGUAGGUUGCCGGCCUCGUUGAGCUCCUUGAGCGUCCGCUCCUAUGUCUUCGGAGUCCAGCGCGGCGGCGGAGGCCUCUCCAGUAGCAGGAGCAGGCUGGUGUCGUGGCGUUUGUUGUUGUCGGUGGUGCUGACCGCGCUUCCCAGCAGCCACGACCUGGAGUUGCCACUGUUGAUGAAGAGCACGCGGCAGCCCUCCUUCGCGAGGUUGCGGGCAAUGGACGAGUUGAGCAGCCUCCUGCAGCAGAGGAAGGAGUUCCUCUACCGGCUCAGCUGCUGCGGGGCACGGCCACCGGAGGGGGGGCCGCGGCGGCGACUAAUGUACAAGAACCUAUCCGUCAUUCUGAUUCAAACGGAGACGAUUAGUCGUUAGUGGGCCGGCGGGCGGGGCGGGGCGGACUCUUCUUCUCAACUGUCGUCGGGAUUUAUUGUAACCACAAGGGACAUGCGCGCGGCCUCAUCGGCGGCACCGACCAGGCCGCGCCGCACCACAUGUUAGGACAUGUUUCAUACUGACUCGAGGACCAAAAUGACAAUGACGCUCUCCUCUGACUGCGAGACACUGACUCACUAGGGCUCUCAAACACAAUCCGCCUUAACUACCUAUAAACAAUAAUACACUACACUCCUGAUUAGGGUCGUAACUGCCAGAUGGCGACCAAAGACCUUCGAGACGUGAAUACGAGAAUCUGAAAAGCA